GGAAGUAAAAGUCGUAACAAGGUUUCCGUAGGUGAACCUGCGGAAGGAUCAUUAAUAUUUGGUUAGAGUCCACUACCACAAUAGUGGACUUCGACCAAAUAUUCUUUAUAUUUUUAAAGGAGCGAUACCUUAUAUUUAAAACCCACACUUUGAACGUAUAAAAUUUGUGUAUUAAUGAUAAAUUAAAAGAUCACUUUCAACAACGGAUCUCUUGGCUCUCGCAUCGAUGAAGAACGUAGCGAAGUGCGAUAAGUAAUGUGAAUUGCAGUAUUCCGUGAAUCAUCGAAUCUUUGAACGCAUAUUGCACUUUCUGGUAUUCCGGAAAGUAUGCCUGUUUGAGGGUCAGUUAAAUAAAAAUCGGUGUUGUUGCUGCCUUUCGUGGUGACGCGUCGGAAUUGAGUUGUCUUACCUUCGGUUAAGUGACUUAAAAUUUUGUAUGAUUUUUGAACGUAUUUAAAUUUUAUUUGUACGUUUGAGAUAUCGAAUGUUUAUUAGGUUCGGUCAUUCUAAUGACCCGCGCCUAUAGUUUUUUCAUUAAAUGACCUCAAAUCAGGUAAGAGUACCCGCUGAACUUAAGCAUAUCAAUAAGCGGAGGA
rnacentral:rRNA from 1 species